rnacentral:rRNA from 1 species
CAGUAGCCGCGGUAAUACGAAGGGUGCAAGCGUUACUCGGAAUUACUGGGCGUAAAGCGUGCGUAGGUGGUUGUUUAAGUCUGCUGUGAAAGCCCUGGGCUCAACCUGGGAAUUGCAGUGGAUACUGGGCGACUAGAGUAAGGUAGAGGAUAGUGGAAUUUCCGGUGUAGCAGUGAAAUGCGUAGAGAUCGGAAGGAACAUCUGUGGCGAAGGCGACUAUCUGGGCCAUUACUGACACUGAGGCACGAAAGCGUGGGGAGCAAACAGGAUUAGAUACCCCUGUAGUCCCUGUCUCUUAUAC